rnacentral:rRNA from 1 species
AGUGAACGCUGGCGGCAGGCCUAAUACAUGCAAGUCGAACGGCAGCACAGCAGAGCUUGCUCUGUGGGUGGCGAGUGGCGGACGGGUGAGGAAUACAUGGGAAUCUGCCCAGUCGUGGGGGAUAACGUAUGGAAACGUACGCUAAUACCGCAUGCGCCCUACGGGGGAAAGCCGGGGACCGAAAGGCCUGGCGCGAUUGGAUGAGCCCAUGUUCGAUUAGCUAGUUGGCGGGGUAAAGGCCCACCAAGGCGACGAUCGAUAGCUGGUCUGAGAGGAUGAUCAGCCACACUGGAACUGAGACACGGUCCAGACUCCUACGGGAGGCAGCAGUAGGGAAUAUUGGACAAUGGGGGCGAACCCUGAUCCAGCCAUGCCGCGUGAGUGAAGAAGGCCCUCGGGUUGUAAAGCUCUUUUGUCCGGAAAGAAAAGCAUUCGGUUAAUACCCGGGUGUUCUGACGGUACCGGAAGAAUAAGCACCGGCUAACUUCGUGCCAGCA